rnacentral:rRNA from 1 species
GUGCCAGCAGCCGCGGUAAUACGUAGGGGGCGAGCGUUAUCCGGAUUUACUGGGCGUAAAGCGCGUUAAGGCGGCUCGCUAAGUUGGUGGUGAAAUUUCAGGGCUCAACCCUGAAACUGCCUCCAAUACUGGCGAGCUUGAGUGCGAGAGAGGAAGGUGGAAUUCCCGGUGUAGUAGUGAAAUGCGUAGAUAUCGGGAGGAACACCAGUGGCGAAGGCGGCCUUCUGGCUCGCAACUGACGCUGUAGCGCGAAAGCGUGGGGAGCAAACGGGAUUAGAUACCCCCGUAGUCC